rnacentral:misc_RNA from 1 species
AAGCCGUAACAAGGUUUCCGUAGGUGAACCUGCGGAAGGAUCAUUACACAGUAUUACCGGAGGACGGGCGAGCGGAUGCGCGCAAGCGCUCUGUUUCCCGUUCCAUCUGGUUCUACCCAUGUUUUUUGCGUACCCCUGUUUCCUCGGCAGGCUCGCCUGCCAGUAGGACACCAUAAGCUCACUGCAAUGGUAGUCAGCGUCAGAAAAUCUAUAAUUACAA